rnacentral:tRNA from 1 species
UUCCUGGUGGCUCAGUGGUAAAGAAUCUGCCUGCCAAGGCAGGAGAUACAGGUUCGAUCCCUGAUCUGGAAG